rnacentral:rRNA from 1 species
GAUGAACGCUGACAGCAUGCUUAACACAUCAGCCAUUGAUUGGAGGCGGACGGGUGAGUAACGCGUAAAGCACUUGCCUCACUGCUAGGGACAACAUCUCGAAAUGAAUGCUACUACCAGAUACUGUGAGAGAGCUUUGCGUCCCAUUAGCUAGUUGGCGAGGUAACAGCUCACAAAGGCGAUGAUGGGUAGCCGACCUGAGAGGGUGAACGGCAACAAGGGGACUGAGACACGGCCCUUACUCCUACGGGAGGCAGCAGUGGGGAAUAUUGGACAAUGGACCGAAGGCUGAUACAGCAAUUCUGUGUGCACGAUGAAGUUUUCGGAAUGUAAAGUGCUUUCAGUUGGGAAGCGGUACCAACAGAAGAAGGGACGGCUAAAUACGUGCCAGCAGCCGCGGUAAUUC